ACCUCGGGUUAUGAACACUUCUGACCAUGACCAAAUUUGCUGACCACCAAAAAUUUCAGAAAAUUUUUGCAUCUGGUUGUGAACACAUCCUCAGGUGGCAAUCAAACACAGCUGCGGAAAUUUCCCCUGCUGCAGCAAUUUCCCUUUCUGCGCCAUUUUUUUUGUCCGCACAUACACAGUCAGUCUUACUUCUGGUCAUGACCAAAUCGGGUUGCGACCAAAGUCCUGGAACGGAUUAUGGUCGUGACCGGAGGUUCUACUGUCAUGAAAUAUGUUGU